CCGACAUCACAAAUUUCUCUGUUCUCUCUCUUUUACAAUUCUUCAUCACCUUCCUGGUUUUAUCAAGAUUUGAUCAAAUUCAAAGAUCCGUAAACAUAAGUUGCAGGUAUGUUAAUCCGAUUCGAUGCUCUCUUUGUUUCCACCGUUUUCCAGAAGCAUCAUCAUGUUGGUCUAUCAAGAUUUGAUUACUGGUGAUGAGCUUCUUUCAGACUCCUUCCCCUACAAGAACUCUUGAAUGGGAUCCUAUGUGAAGUUGAAGGAAAGAUCUGAUUCCAGUGAUUAAUAUCCGCUUGAGUAACCCAAUCUGAGUCUGAUUUUUUUCGUUAACGAUUCAGGUUUUUAUUUUGGAUGCCCCGGAGUUUUGGUUGCAACUAUGUUGGACAGAGGUAUGGUUGUUGUGGUUGGAAAUUGGUACCAUGUCCGUUGGUUUUGCUUGGCAAGAAUGGAUGGAAUGCUCUAAGAAGGUUUCUUUGUUAAUUAAUUCUUCUCUUCGGCUUAUAAGGGAUGACGCUAAG